rfam:Candidatus Blackburnbacteria bacterium RIFCSPLOWO2_01_FTLL_41_27 rifcsplowo2_01_scaffold_7711, whole genome shotgun sequence.
GGAGAGGUCGGAUAGUUUGGUUUAUUCCGAUGGUUUCGAAAACCAUUGUCUCGCAAGAGACUCGUGGGUUCAAAUCCCACCCUCUCCG